rnacentral:sRNA from 2 species
UCCGUACGGGGAAGGAUGAGAAGCUUCGACUAAGGUUCGAUUCGAGCGAAAGCGAGAAAGCGUUGCCGCAGGCAACGACCCGAAGGGCGAAGCGCGCAGCGCUGAGUCAUCCUUCCCCCACCACCA